rnacentral:rRNA from 1 species
GACGAACGCUGGCGGCGUGCUUAACACAUGCAAGUCGAACGGAAAGGCCCUGCUUGCAGGGUACUCGAGUGGCGAACGGGUGAGUAACACGUGGGUGAUCUGCCCUGCACUUCGGGAUAAGCCUGGGAAACUGGGUCUAAUACCGGAUAGGAGCCAUUUUUAGUGUGAUGGUUGGAAAGUUUUUUCGGUGUAGGAUGAGCUCGCGGCCUAUCAGCUUGUUGGUGGGGUAAUGGCCUACCAAGGCGGCGACGGGUAGCCGGCCUGAGAGGGUGGACGGCCACAUUGGGACUGGGAUACGGCCCAGACUCCUACGGGAGGCAGCAGUGGGGAAUAUUGCACAAUGGGCGCAAGCCUGAUGCAGCGACGCCGCGUGGGGGAUGACGGCCUUCGGGUUGUGAACUCCUUUCGCUAGGGACGAAGCUUUUUGUGACGGUACCUAGAUAAGAAGCACCGGCUAACUACGUG